rnacentral:lncRNA from 1 species
GGGUGGCGCCGUGCCGGGGCUUGGUUAUAGGGUUGAGUGGUCCGCGGAAGCCGGCUAGGGGCCUAGCGGAGGUACAGACCCUCCCGCGGAAGAGGAGAGCAGUACUCACCUUCCUCCCUACAGCAGCCUCACCCUCGUCUGGAGAAGCAGCUGAGCCUCUUACUCUCCUUCAGCCACCCUUCCUUUCCCCUGGGCAUUGGAGCCACUGACUCCCAUGGGUCCCUGAUGUUGAAUACCUCCUCCUGUGGCCCCAAAUUAGGGCCUGACACAUUAAAAUGGGAGCUGCCCAGCGCAGCCAUGCCACCCGCCAGAGGUGCUUUAGCC